UGUUAUAUUUUAGCUUUUAACAUGGAACAUGCCUCUCUGGAGCUUCUCUCCUGAUGCUACCCCGCCAAAGACCCUUAUCCAUAGAGACUAUGUCAGCUCCCAAACAGACAACAACAAACCAAAACUAGCAAUAAACAACCUAAACAUAAACAAUAACAAAGCAAGAACAAUACAGAAUCUACAUCUGAACCGAAGAAUAAAACAGUGAAAUGUGGAUUAUUAAAUAUUAGGUCUCUCUCUUCAAAGUCUCUGUUAGCUCACGCCAAGCGGUCGCAGCAGAUGGCUGCCCGUACCUGAGCGUGGUUCUGGCUGAAGUUUCUUCCUGUUAAAAGGGAGUUUUUCCUUUCCACUGUUGCCAAAGUGGCUAUGCUAUAGUCUGCAAACAAGGAACUGAAUUGAGGUAAAAGAGCAGGGAGAAAUGAAGGACACUCUCAGGCCAAUACCAUGGUUGCAGGAGGAAAUCAGAGAGCGGAUGAAGCCGCAAAGGGAGCAGCAGGCUAUAAAGGACGACAGCAAAUGGUGCAGGUAACCGCUGAAGAAGAGGCAGGUGUCAAUAUGUUGGAGGAGGCCAGACAGGCUCAAGACGAGGCUUCUCUGGAGGAAAAGAGGUGUGGCAGAGCAAAGGAGCCCGAAAAGAGGGUGGUCUUUGGAAAGGAGCCAUGCUGGAGGGGUCCUUACGAGGUCGUUGCCAGGACGACUACAGCAGUUCAACUGAAAGGGAAAGGCGACACCUGGUAUCACUGGUCGCAGUGUGCACCAGCACAUGAGAGCUUGGUUGAGGAAGUCUUCAACCAACACAGGUGUCAACGAACAGAGGCAGAAUAAACCCUCUCACCUGUGCAACGCGCCAACCAGUAGUCUACCUGGAAGGCCGAAGAAAGAAGAGCAGCAGCUUAGAAGGUCGCCACGCCAGCAGAAAGGGGCAGUGAUAAGUUGAAGGCUCCACAAAGAGGGGAGUUUCAUUCUAGAAUCUAAAAUCUAUAUAACAAUUAUAGAAUACAAAGUUUAUAUAACAUGAUGCAAACAAACGAAUCAGAGACACGUAAUGAGAAGAAACUUAUUAAAAUGUUCCUUACAACUACAUGUUUAUUGUAUGCAAUAAUAGUAACCAUGGCUGUGUUGUUUAUAGAGAUUGAAAAUGUGACGUCAUUCAGGGGUAAAACCGCAAAGGAUUCUGGGAGGUGGUGGUAAGAGGUACUAGCGGGCACUGGCUUUCAAUAGAAAUCAGUUAAACAGCGAUAAAAAAGAAACAUAAAAUGGCAAGAAGCUGUUGUAUUAUUAACUGCACAAGCCGGGCGAACGACAGCCGCGUGAAGUCGACGGGAAAUGCGUUUGGUUUUUAUCAGAUUCCGGCGUGAAAGAGAAAUUGUCCAAGCCAUGUCUCCGAAGUCACGAAGAGGCGACGGAUGGCCUGGAUUGCCGCUAUCCUAAUACCUAAUAUAACGUUCGAAAACACUCCACCUCACAUGUUAGUCUGCUCCAAGCAUUUCCACAAAGGCAAACCAGCCUACGAAAUGCUGGAAUGCGAUCCAGACUGGGCAUAUAAUAUAAUAUAUUAUAUAUAAUAAUUGCCACGUUUAUGCAGACGAUUUGUGAGACAGGUAAACUUACCGUUGUUCGUACGAUGGUCUUGUGUUCUACACGGUGCAUUUCAAGGUCCUGCACCCAUCCAUCGGUAAACUGUACCUGGGCUUGUUGCAAUGACCUGAAGUUACUAAAAACUUCAUGAGUGUAUGCACUCACUCCAAGAACCUUAUAAUUAUAAAUCUGAGCGUGGUGAAAGUUGGCCAGUACGCUGACGUCUUUUAUCCACUCUGUGUGCUCGUAAGGGUCUGACCCUUUCACUCCUUUGAUAUUUUCCUCGUACCUUUUCUUUGCCUUUUCGUCGAGUCUGUCUCUGUACGGACCGGCUUUGUUGUCCUUCAUUUGUACAUCCUUUUUUUGGUGAGGAAAGAAAAAGCAAGAAGGUAUUGGAACCGGAGAAUAAACGUUUUGCGGUGCUGCAAAUGCUUGCAUUUAAUGCGGUUCUUUGAAUGUUUUUCCCAUCACCUCCCGGCAUGCAACGCGCGAAAGUCACGUGGUCUGUCAAUCUCUAUUGUCUAUAUUUUGCAGGGCACUCCGGACCCCUUGUCUGAACACAGAGGCCAGUCCAGCCCAGCAUUUCCUGAGACUGUAGUUCCUAAAACAGGAUCGGUA